UACGGGGGGGGGCAAGCGUUGUUCGGAAUUACUGGGCGUAAAGGGCGCGUAGGCGGUGCUCUAAGUCGGAUGUGAAAACUCUGGGCUCAACCCAGAGCCUGCAUCCGAAACUGGAGUGCUAGAGUUCUGGAGGGGGUAGCGGAAUUCCUGGUGUAGCGGUGAAAUGCGUAGAUAUCUGGAGGAACACCGGUGGCGAAGGCGGCUUUCUGGACAGAUACCGACGCUGAGGCACGAAAGCUAGGGGAGCAAACAGG
rnacentral:rRNA from 1 species